rnacentral:rRNA from 1 species
CCUACGGGACGCAGCAGUGAGGAAUAUUGGUCAAUGGGCGAGAGCCUGAACCAGCCAAGUCGCGUGAGGGAGUACUGCCCUAUGGGUUGUAAACCUCUUUUGUCGGGGAGCAAAAGCCGGACGUGUCCGGCUGUGAGAGUACCCGAAGAAAAAGCAUCGGCUAACUCCGUGCCAGCAGCCGCGGUAAUACGGAGGAUGCGAGCGUUAUCCGGAUUUAUUGGGUUUAAAGGGUGCGCAGGCGGAUUUUUAAGUCAGCGGUAAAAUCGUGGGGCUCAACCCCAUCCAGCCGUUGAAACUGGGGAUCUAGAGUGUGCGAGAGGUAUGCGGAAUGCGUGGUGUAGCGGUGAAAUGCAUAGAUAUCACGCAGAACCCCGAUUGCGAAGGCAGCAUACCGGUGCACAACUGACGCUCAGGCACGAAAGCGUGGGUAUCGAACAGGAUUAGAUACCCCUGUAGUC